GACGAACGCUGGCGGCGUGCUUAACACAUGCAAGUCGAACGGAAAGGCCCUGCUUGCAGGGUACUCGAGUGGCGAACGGGUGAGUAACACGUGGGUGAUCUGCCCUGCACUUCGGGAUAAGCCUGGGAAACUGGGUCUAAUACCGGAUAGGAGCCAUUUUUAGUGUGAUGGUUGGAAAGUUUUUUCGGUGUAGGAUGAGCUCGCGGCCUAUCAGCUUGUUGGUGGGGUAAUGGCCUACCAAGGCGGCGACGGGUAGCCGGCCUGAGGGGGUGGACGGCCACAUUGGGACCGAGAUAAGGCCCAGACUCCUACGGGGGGCAGCAGUGGGGAAUAUUGCAAAAUGGGGGCAAGCCUGAUGCAGCGAAGCCGCGGGGGGGAUGAAGGCCUUCGGGUUGGAAACUCCUUUCGCUAGGGACGAAGCUUUUUGUGACGGUACCUAGAGAAGAAGCACCGGCUAACUACGUG
rnacentral:rRNA from 1 species